AGAGCGAACGCUGGCGGCAUGCUUAACACAUGCAAGUCGCACGGGCAGGGGUAACUCUGUCAGUGGCGGACGGGUGAGUAACGCGUAGGUAUCUAUCCUCGGGUGGGGGACAACCACGGGAAACUGUGGCUAAUACCGCAUGAUGACUGAGGUCCAAAGGCGCAAGUCGCCUGGGGAGAGCCUGCGUCCGAUUAGCUUGUUGGUGGGGUAAAGGCCUACCAAGGCUCCGAUCGGUAGCUGGUCUGAGAGGAUGAUCAGCCACACUGGGACUGAGACACGGCCCCAGGCUCCUACGGGAGGCAGCAGUGGGGAAUAUUGGACAAUGGGCGAAAGCCUGAUCCAGCAAUGCCGCGUGUGUGAAGAAGGUCUUCGGAUUGUAAAGCACUUUCGACGGGACGAUGAUGACGGUACCCGUAGAAGAAGCCCGGCUAACUUCGCGCCAGCAGCCGC
rnacentral:rRNA from 1 species